CCCCGCACACUCGCACAACGCGCGGUAAAUCACGAUAUACAACAAUAUACAACGGUAAACAGACAGAAUCUUGGAGCGCUAUUUGUUUGGAUUUGAUUUCAUCGUUAACCCGAUAAGAUAUGGAAGUAGACGUGUUCGACAACUUAUUUCGAUAACGCAAAAUAAAUAAUCGCAUAGAUAACUGAUAUUUCGAUAUCAUCGUUUGUUUUCGCACGUUUUCAAAAAACGAGUUUGCCUUAAAUGAUGAGUUUAUAACCUUUUCGUCGGAUGUGAGAUCGUCAACAAUGACAAGGGUCAUGUUAUGGCCCUUUUUAAAUUGUGUAAUAUCGCAUUGAAUUAUACGAUAUUUUGCGGUUUGAGAAGUACACUUAGCAACUUGUGUAGCAAGAAACCUGCAUAUACCCUUUACUCGUUGAGACGACACUGUUCAAAUCGCAUCAUGAAGGUUCUCAAUGUUGCCGAGAAGCAUGAUGCGGCUAAGAAUAUUGCUGGUUAUUUGUCGAAUGGUACCAGCAGGAAGAGAGAAGGUUUAUCUGUGUACAACAAGAUUUUCGAAUUUAAUGUGCAACUAUGGGGUCAAAACUGCCAAAUGGUGAUGACGUCUGUGUCAGGGCAUUUAUUAGGCUAUGAUUUUACUGGAGCUUAUCGCAAGUGGCAAGGAUGUAGUCCAUUGAGUUUAUUUGAUGCCCCUGUGUCUAAGGAAUGUUUGGGUGAAAAUUAUGAAAAGAUCAAGAGAACUUUGGAGCGAGAGAUACGAUCCUGCAACACAUUGAUUAUUUGGACAGAUUGUGAUAGAGAGGGGGAGAACAUAGGUUUUGAAAUUAUUCAGGUUUGCAAGGCAGUCAAAUCUAAUAUCCGUGUAUAUAGAGCAAAAUUCUCAGAAAUUACAAAACAGUCUAUUGAAAGAGCUCUGCAAACUUUGGGAGAACCAGAUAAGGCAAUAAGUGAUGCUGUAGAUGUAAGGAGCGAAUUAGAUUUACGAAUUGGCGCUGCGUUUACAAGGUUUCAGACUUUAAGAUUACAGAAGAUAUUUCCCAACACUCUUGGAAAUUUGCUCAUCAGUUACGGAAGCUGUCAGUUUCCAACGCUUGGAUUUGUAGUCGAGAGAUUUUUAGCUAUUGAUCGAUUCAAGUCCGAACCGUACUGGAAGCUUAGAGUAAUCGAUGAUCGCGAUGGGAUAUCCGUUGAGUUCAGAUGGGCUAGGGUAAGACUGUUUGAAAAAAUGCCUUGCCAGAUCUUUUUGGACAUGUGUUUGGAACGGCCAGAUGCGACAGUAGAAAAGAUAACGUGCAAGCCAAAAAGCAAAUGGAGACCUCUACCUCUGGAUACUAUUGAAUUAGAGAAGCAAGGCUCUCGUAAGUUGCGCCUAAACGCGAAGGAGACGAUGAGGAUAGCGGAAAGAUUGUACACUCAAGGUUUCAUUAGUUACCCACGCACAGAAACGGAUAUAUUCCCAAAGGAAAUGAAUUUAACGUCUUUAGUACAGCAACAAGUGCCCAAUCGAGACUGGGGUGACUUUGCGCGAAAUUUACUAGAAUCAGGAGUAACUCCCAGGCAAGGAAAGAAAAGCGAUCAAGCGCAUCCUCCUAUUCAUCCUACAAAGUAUACCGACAGUUUGCAAGGAAACGAAGCGAAGGUCUAUGAAUUUGUCGUUCGACAUUUUCUGGCUUGUCUGUCGAAGAAUGCGGAGGGUCGAGAAACAACAGUGGACAUCAACAUAGCAAACGAAAGAUUUACGGCUAACGGUCUCGAAAUUAUAGCAAAGAAUUAUCUCGAGGUGUAUAUAUAUGAGAAAUGGAACAACAAACAGAUUCAUUCUUACCAACAGAGGCAGGUUUUCCGACCAACUAGCAUUGAAAUGAUAGAAGAGAAGACUUCGCCACCGAAAUUAUUAACCGAGGCUGAGUUGAUCGCGUUGAUGGACAAGCAUGGCAUUGGUACAGACGCCACCCACGCCGAGCACAUCGAUACUAUCAAAUCCAGACAAUACGUGGGCUUAACGAACACUCAACAUUUCAUGCCAGGCAAAUUGGGGAUUGGUCUGGUUAUGGGUUAUGACAAUAUGGGUUUCCAAAUGUCCAAGCCACAUUUGCGCGCGGAUUUAGAAAAAGAUUUACAACUGAUAUGCCAGCGUCAGAAAAACCCGAAUGAAGUAUUACAAAAUCAAAUUAAUAAAUAUCGCGAGGUGUUUGAAGUGGCGAUAGAACGUGCCAAUCUGAUAGAUGAAUCUUUGGCACAAUAUCUGGACGAGAGACCUCUCCAAACCGAGCAAAUUGCCCCUUUACUCCCUCCACAACAAGUUGCUAUAUUCAAGUGCCCAAAAUGCGGUUCCAAUAUGACUCUACAAAACAGACGACAGGGCGGAGGAAAAUUCAUUAGCUGCAUGGGCUAUCCAACAUGUAAAAAUGUAGUUUGGUUCCCAGAGGCCAUAAAAGAUAUAGAAGUUUUGAACGAGACAUGUACUCAGUGUACAGAAAAUAUGCGCAAAUUAAAGUUUACAUUAGUCAGGAAUGUGAUACCCUUAUAUGGUACUUCUUACACGACAUGUAUAAGCUGUGAUACCCAAUUCAACGAAAUGUUGAACAUUAAGGAGGAUUGCAUUAAACAAACGGGAAGAAUAAAUAAUACAGGUCGCAAUAAUACGAGGGAUACACCAAGCUUCACUUCUACCUCGAGUACAUCUCAAUCCAGAAGUGGUCAAUCAGCUCCUAAUAAUACAUGGGCUAGCAGUUCAGGAUCUAGUAGUAUAGGGGUCCGAAGUAACAACAAUUAUGGUUCGAUUGGAACGUCUAGCACAUCCACAGAACGCAUACAGAGCCAAACUUUAAAUGUUUCUCAGUCAAACAGAUCGAAUAGGCCAAAUGCUAUUGAUAGAAAUACAAUAUCAAGCAACAGCGAAAAUCAUACUUCCUGGAUUCGUUCAAAUGAUUUCAAUAGUUUAGGAAAUAGAUCGAAUCAAUCUGAGUCCAGAAAUGUUCCCAGCGCGAACAAUGCAACUAAUUGGGGUAACAUUGACAAUAACACUGAAAUUAUGUGUAAUUGUCAUGAGAUUGCGAUCCAGUUAACAGUUAAGAAAGAGGGACCAAAUAAAGGACGUCUGUUUUACAAAUGUGCUAAACCGCAAGGUAGCGGUUGCAACUUUUUCUUAUGGGGAUCUGACAGCGUCGAAUCUCGAGAUAAUGUAGCGAACGAACAUUCAAGUUGGACAUCUAGCUUUGAUAGAAACAAUGAUAAUGCUGGUCAUUCUUCUCGUGCUGGCACUUCGAAUAAUAAUUGGGGAAACCCAUCCACGAAUGAUGUUAUGUGCCAAUGUAAUGAGCCUGCUCGAAAGCUGACGGUUCAUAAAGAUGGGCCCAAUAAGGGACGACAGUUUUACGGAUGUCCCAAAGGUAUGAAUUCCACUUGUAAGUUUUUCAAAUGGGCAGAUGAUGAUGACGUCGAUCACGAGAACAUGGACUGGAACACUUCCACUGCAAGAGGAAGAGGAAACACAGCACAUAACAGACACAAUGCUCCAAAAAGACCUAGACCUACUGGAGGCAAGAGAAAAUGUGGAAAUUGCGGAAUGGAAGGUCAUACAAAGAGGAAAUGUCCAGAAACACAAUAAACUGAUAAAGAAAUAUUUUUCUAAUAUAGUAUUGUAAAUAAUGUACAGUUUGUAACGAUUAAAAUUGUAAAAACCUUAACUAGAAGCAGUGUAGAACACAGCUUUUAUUGCUAAGAUUUGACUUAUUGUGUCUUAUUGAAGCAACAGUUCUCACAAAUGUUAAGACUUCCGAUUAAAGGAGUCUCUCCAAUUCUUCUUUCUGCGAGUGAACCUCGGCGGUUGUUUGCGUUAACUAUAAAACAAAAUUAACUUUCUAAUUUUUUGAAAGGUAUACAACAUAAAACAGAAGUUUACCAUAUCUAAAAGUACAUCAAACUUUAGCUUCAGUAAAUUGUUCUCUUCUUCCAGUCGUCUCACUUCUUUUUUUAACUUCUCAUUCUCUUUGAAAGUACCUCCUGCCUUGCCAGAUUCUGAAACAAUAUUACCAUAUUUUUUUAUUUAAGAAAGAGAUCAGAGUGUAAAGAUUUCUACAUGGAAAAUAGAACGUUACUCACCUGGAAUCCAGAGGCCAGCCUCAAAAACAGCUUCCUGAUCUCCAAGGCGAAGGCGAAUUGGACCAACCUCUGGACCAAGUUCCUUCUCUAUUCGUUGAGGGCUUAAAUUUUUAUUUGCCAGGAAAACGGAUGCUUUCCGGGUUGGCGUCUUCUUGGGGGAAAACUUAUUGAAGAAUAAAGGCAUCGCGUCACUCUCUUGUAA